AACGGGGGGGGCGAGCGUUAUUCUUAAUGACUGGGCGUAAAAUUUGGGUGCGCAGGCAGAUACUUCAGCUUCAUCUUAAUUGGCAGGGCUCAGCUUUUGACAGGGGUGAAGGGCGAUUUGAUCUUCGGAUUUGUUGAGAAGGAGGCGGUACGUCCGGUGUAGAGGUAAAAUUCGUCGAUACCAGGAGGGACCAACAUUCGGCAAAAGCGGCUUCCUACCACUAAUUGACGCUAAGGCACGAAAAGCGUGGGGAGCAAACGGG
rnacentral:rRNA from 1 species